rnacentral:misc_RNA from 1 species
AUGGUACUUUUGAAGUGGUUAUAGCUGAGCUCAUCAGUAUGCUUCCAGAUUUGAAGACUUUGUCAUUGACUUUGGGUUCCACCACAAAGUUCUUUAAGUUUUCGUAGAGAGGAAUGAUGUGAAGGUGCUCUCAGCAGAAGGAAUUAACAACUCUUUUUGAACUCCAGAAGCUUAGAGAUUGGCAACUGUUAUCGUCGAACAAUUGUUCCAUGACUUGGUCAGUCGCUAUGGUACUGGACCAGUUUUUUUG